rnacentral:rRNA from 1 species
GAGUGAUCAAGUGUCUUAAGGGCAUUUGGUGGAUGCCUUGGCAUGCACAGGCGAUGAAGGACGUGAUACGCUGCGAUAAGCGUCGGGGAGGUGCGAAUACCCUUUGAUCCGACGAUUUCCGAAUGGGGCAACCCACCUUAGAUGACUAGAAAAUCUGUUUUGUUGGAGCAACGCUGGAUGGGUUUACACCCAUACAGACCGCUAGGUCGUCGGCCCAUGUGGGCCGCCCCCGCGGAGCGCCAGCAUUCCUCUGGAAUGCGUACGGCGCGUGAGCGAGAACAGCACAGCUUUCUAGUCAUCAUAAAUAAGGUAUCUAACCUUGAAUACAUAGGGGUUAGAAGCGAACCUGGGGAACUGAAACAUCUAAGUACCCAGAGGAAAGGACAUCAAACGAGACUCCGCUAGUAGUGGCGAGCGAACGCGGACCAGGCCAGUGGCUUUUGUGAAUAAAGUGGAACGAGUUGGAAAACUCGACCGAAGUGGGUGAUAGUCCCGUACACGUAGAAUAGCAGAAGUCCUUGAGUAGGGCGGGACACGUGAAAUCCUGUCUGAACAUGGGUCGACCACGAUCCAAGCCUAAGUACUCGUGCAUGACCGAUAGCGAACCAGUACCGUGAGGGAAAGGUGAAAAGCACCCCGACGAGGGGAGUGAAACAGUACCUGAAACCGGAUGCCUACAAACAGUUGGAGCCCAAGGUUUGUCCUGGGUGACAGCGUACCUUUUGUAUAAUGGGUCAGCGACUUAGUGUAUCGAGCAAGCUUAAGCCGGUAGGUGUAGGCGCAGCGAAAGCGAGUCUGAACAGGGCGUUCAGUUCGAUGCAUUAGACCCGAAACCAAGUGAUCUAGCCAUGAGCAGGUUGAAGGUACGGUAACACGUACUGGAGGACCGAACCCAUAUCUGUUGCAAUAGAUCGGGAUGACUUGUGGCUAGGGGUGAAAGGCCAAUCAAACUUGGAGAUAGCUGGUUCUCCGCGAAAUCUAUUUAGGUAGAGCGUCGACCGAAUACCCCCGGGGGUAGAGCACUGGAUGGGCUAUGGGGACUCACCGUCUUACUGAUCCUAACCAAACUCCGAAUACCGGGGAGUACUAAUCGGCAGACACACGGCGGGUGCUAACGUCCGUCGUGGAGAGGGCAACAACCCUGACCACCAUCUAAGGUCCCUAAGUUAUGGCUAAGUGGGAAAGGAUGUGAGGAUCCCAAAACAACCAGGAUGUUGGCUUAGAAGCAGCCAUCAUUUAAAGAAAGCGUAACAGCUCACUGGUCUAAAUAAGGGUCUUUGCGCCGAAAAUGUACCGGGGCUCAAGCCAUACACCGAAGCUGUGGAUGCACGUAUGUGCGUGGUAGCGGAGCGUUCCGUAAGCCUGUGAAGGGACAGUCGUGAGACAUCCUGGAGGUAUCGGAAGUGAGAAUGCUGACAUGAGUAACGAUAAAGGGAGUGAGAGACUCCCUCGCCGAAAGUCCAAGGGUUCCUGCUUAAAGUUAAUCUGAGCAGGGUUAGCCGGCCCCUAAGGCGAGGCCGAAAGGCGUAGUCGAUGGGAACCACGUUAAUAUUCGUGGGCCUGCAGGUAGUGACGGAUCGCGUGUGUUGUGAGGUCUUAUUGGAUUGAUCUUGCAGCGAAGCGGUUCCAGGAAAUAGCUCCUGCAUAUAGACCGUACCCUAAACCGACACUGGUGGACUGGUAGAGAAUACCAAGGCGCUUGAGAGAACUGCGUUGAAGGAACUCGGCAAAAUGCACGCGUAACUUCGGAAGAAGCGUGACCUCACUAUGGGCAACCAUAGGGGGGUGGCACAGACCAGGGGGUAGCGACUGUUUACCAAAAACACAGGGCUCUGCGAAGUCGCAAGACGACGUAUAGGGUCUGACGCCUGCCCGGUGCUGGAAGGUUAAGAGGAGAGGUGCAAGCCUUGAAUUGAAGCCCCAGUAAACGGCGGCCGUAACUAUAACGGUCCUAAGGUAGCGAAAUUCCUUGUCGGGUAAGUUCCGACCUGCACGAAUGGCGUAACGACUUCCCCGCUGUCUCCAACGCAGACUCAGUGAAAUUGAAUUCCCCGUGAAGAUGCGGGGUUCCUGCGGUUAGACGGAAAGACCCCGUGCACCUUUACUAUAGCUUUACACUGGCAUUCGUGACGACAUGUGUAGGAUAGGUGGUAGACUUUGAAGCAGGGGCGCCAGCCUUUGUGGAGUCACCCUUGAAAUACCACCCUUGUUUUUAUGGAUGUCUAACUGCGGCCCGUUAUCCGGGUCCAGGACCGUGUAUGGUGGGUAGUUUGACUGGGGCGGUCGCCUCCUAAAGAG